rnacentral:rRNA from 1 species
AUUGAACGCUGGCGGCAUGCCUUACACAUGCAAGUCGAACGGCAGCACGGGAGCAAUCCUGGUGGCGAGUGGCGAACGGGUGAGUAAUAUAUCGGAACGUGCCCAGUCGUGGGGAUAACGUAGCGAAAGCUACGCUAAUACCGCAUACGAUCUAUGGAUGAAAGCGGGGGAUCGCAAGACCUCGCGCGAUUGGAGCGGCCGAUAUCAGAUUAGGUAGUUGGUGAGGUAAAGGCUCACUAAGCCGACGAUCUGUAGCUGGUCUGAGAGGACGACCAGCCACACUGGGACUGAGACACGGCCCA